UGGGGAAUUUUGCACAAUGGAGGAAACCCUGAUGCAGCGACGCCGCGUGUACGAUGAAGAUCUUCGGAUUGUAAAGUACUGUCCUUGGUGAAGAUAAUGACUGUAACCAAGAAGCAAGCCCUGGCUAAAUACGUGCCAGCAGCCGCGGUAAUACGUAUGGGGCAAGCGUUGUCCGGAAUUAUUGGGCGUAAAGGGUACGUAGGCGGUUAUUUAAGUCUAAAUUAAAAGGCAUUGGCUCAACCAAUGUAAGGUUUAGAUACUGGGUAACUUGAGUAGAUUAGUGGAAAGUGGAAUUCCAUGUGUAGCGGUGAAAUGCGUACAUAUAUGGAGGAACACCAAUGGCUAAGGCAACUUUCUGGAAUCAAACUGACGCUGAGGUACGAAGGCGUGGGGAGCAAACAGG
rnacentral:rRNA from 1 species